rnacentral:snRNA from 1 species
GGAUGUGAGGGCAAUUUAGCUGCAACAUCUGUCACCCCACUGGAUAUCCAGGGUUGAUUCAGCUGAUGUGGCUGGCUAGGCAGGUGUCCCCUUCUUCCCUCACCACUCUAUGUGCUUCCCUCCUGAAGCUGCAUGCUGGGAAGAGGAGGACUUUCCACCACAGGGGAGGACUGUUCUUCAGUCAAGGGUAUAGGAGUUGCUGCACUCCCCUGCUGGAACCUCCAAACAAGUUCUCAUGGUAUAUAUGUAGGAGAACGCAGGGUAGUCAAGAUUCCAAGACUCCAGACACACCCAAAUGAGGCACUACAUGUGGCAGUCUGUCUUUCUCU